ensembl:snoRNA
CUUCCCAUUCAUUUGCUGCUAGAGUCUGGAUGACGUGAGCAGUUAUAUGCCUGGGAUAAAACGAGGUGGGGCCGCUGCAAACUGGGGUGGGGUACAUUUCAUCUCUUCUUCGUGGUCUAGACACUG